rnacentral:rRNA from 1 species
CAGUCGAACGAUGAAGCUCUAGCUUGCUAGAGUGGAUUAGUGGCGCACGGGUGAGUAAUGCAUAGAUAACAUGCCCUUUAGUCUAGGAUAGCCAUUGGAAACGAUGAUUAAUACUGGAUACUCCUUACGAGGGAAAGUUUUUCGCUAAAGGAUUGGUCUAUGUCCUAUCAGCUUGUUGGUGAGGUAAUGGCUCACCAAGGCUAUGACGGGUAUCCGGCCUGAGAGGGUGAACGGACACACUGGAACUGAGACACGGUCCAGACUCCUACGGGAGGCAGCAGUAGGGAAUAUUGCUCAAUGGGGGAAACCCUGAAGCAGCAACGCCGCGUGGAGGAUGAAGGUUUUCGGAUUGUAAACUCCUUUUGUUAGAGAAGAUAAUGACGGUAUCUAACGAAUAAGCACCGGCUAACUCCGUGCCAGCAGCCGCGGUAAUACGGAGGGUGCAAGCGUUACUCGGAAUCACUGGGCGUAAAGAGCGCGUAGGCGGGAUAGCAAGUCAGAUGUGAAAUCCUAUGGCUUAACCAUAGAACUGCAUUUGAAACUGUUAUUCUAGAGUAUGGGAGAGGUAGGUGGAAUUCUUGGUGUAGGG